rnacentral:rRNA from 1 species
UACAGAGGGUGCAAGCGUUAAUCGGAGUUACUGGGCGUAAAGGGCGCGUAGGUGGUUGUUUAAGUUGGAUGUGAAAGCCCUGGGCUUAACCUAGGAAUUGCAUACAAUACUGAACAGCUAGAGUACUGUAGAGGGUAGUGGAAUUUCCGGUGUAGCGGUGAAAUGCGUAGAGAUCGGAAGGAACACCAGUGGCGAAGGCGGCUACCUGGACAGAUACUGACACUGAGGCGCGAGAGCGUGGGGAGCAAACAGG